rnacentral:rRNA from 1 species
CCUACGGGUGGCUGCAGUGGGGAAUAUUGGACAAUGGGGGCAACCCUGAUCCAGCCAUGCCGCGUGUGUGAAGAAGGCCCUCGGGUUGUAAAGCACUUUCAGUGAGGAAGAACGCCUGGUGGUUAAUACCCAUCAGGAAAGACAUCACUCACAGAAGAAGCACCGGCUAACUCCGUGCCAGCAGCCGCGGUAAUACGGAGGGUGCGAGCGUUAAUCGGAAUUACUGGGCGUAAAGCGCGCGUAGGUGGCUUGAUAAGCCGGUUGUGAAAGCCCCGGGCUCAACCUGGGAACGGCAUCCGGAACUGUCAAGCUAGAGUGCAGGAGAGGAAGGUAGAAUUCCCGGUGUAGCGGUGAAAUGCGUAGGGAUCGGGAGGAAUACCAGUGGCGAAGGCGGCCUUCUGGACUGACACUGACACUGAGGUGCGAAAGCGUGGGUAGCAAACAGGAUUAGAUACCCUAGUAGUC